GAAGGAGCCCGCGCGGGGCAGAAUCCGGAGGCGGCCGCCGGCCCCGCGCGCGCGGCUUCCAGAGCUCCCGUCGCUGGUUUUCCUCACAAGACAACGUUCUUUCCCCACUUCCAGCGAGCUCAGGCCGUUGACCUUCCAUUUCAUGAACGUGCGCUCCCUGCCCCCGGCUGUGAAGACGUAGCGGCCGUCGUGGGAGACGGCAAAGUCAGCGGCGCCGUCCGGGUGGCAAAUGAAGGCCGAGGACUUGUGGGGGUUGCCAUCAACAGGCAGCAUCUGCAAACCCACCUAUCAUCAUCAGUUGCUACAUACUCUGAGCCAAACUGCUUCAAUGCUGCCUCAAUACUCCUACAGCAAGACCUGGGACUGAGGGAGCAGAGCAUCAGCCAGGAGGAAAUUCCUGCUCCAGCCCCUUCUUCAGAUGGAUGCAGAGCUAAGCUUGUCACUAAAUUUAGGGACUGGGUGGUCUGCGGAGCCGCUGUGACUGGUGACGUUUUUACAGAAUGACUCUUCAAACCAGGAAAAGCAUUUUGGAGUCAGGAAGCCCCAGGGGAGGAACAGCCCUCUGCCCUGCUGCUCUGUGCCUGCAGGACGGAUGGCAAUUCCCAGUCCCUCCCAAAGCUCCCCCGCCAGCAGCACGUGUAAAUCACCGAGCGGAAAAACAAGCGUACAGCGGU